UUUUCCCUUAAAUUUUCCUCAUUUUCUUUUGUGUUUUAGCAUUAUAUACAUAUCUUCUGAAUUCUCGUAUUUCUUUCUAUUUUGUUAUUUUGCCAUUUUGCCCUAAGAACGCAACCACUCCCCCGACAGGUUCGAAGCCCGAAGAAUCAUCAGGAACAUACAACAGUGAACCUAUACAAGAAUAAAUGGAAGGACAAUUGCCUGAACCAGAAAAUUGUGCAUGAGAUACGUCAGGAAAAAAGUGGUGUGUUAAUUGCAAUUUGUGUGAA